UACGUAGGGUGCGAGCGUUUGUCCGGAAUUACUGGGCGUAAAGGGCGCGUAGGCGGCCUGAUAAGUAUGGGGUGAAAUCUCACGGCUCAACCGUGAGGCUGCCUUGUAGACUGUCAGGCUUGAGCACGGUAGAGGCAGAUGGAAUUCCCGGUGUAGCGGUGGAAUGCGUAGAGAUCGGGAAGAACACCAGUGGCGAAGGCGGUCUGCUGGGCCGUAGCUGACGCUGAGGCGCGACAGCGUGGGGAGCAAACAGG
rnacentral:rRNA from 1 species